CUGCGUUACAACCAAUAAGUGGCAUUUGAACACCCCAAUUUGGCAAAAUACACACUUAAUGUCUUGUAACAAACCCAUUGCUUGUAACCAGUGGAGUGAUGAGCUUUUUAUAUUUUAGACCAGAUAUACUACAAUAAAGGUAUGUUGAGUUUUGAAGACUUGAGAUGUAGUUUUGAGGUCACCAGGACAUCCUUCUUGUAUCUGUGCGUAAGAUCAGCCCUAAAAUGUUAUCGAGUGCCAUGGGGAAACAGUCUUGCGAUGCACCCAGUCAUUAAAUGGUUGUUGAGUUUCCUGUGAGAGGAUUAGCGUCUAAGAUCUAUGCUAAACUGAUGCAAGUAUCCAUAGAAGAACUCCCAAUAGCAAGGAAAUGGGAGGAACAGCUGAGCACUAAGGGGCACACAAUUAAUAGGGAG